rnacentral:rRNA from 1 species
AUUGAACGCUGGCGGUAGGCCUAACACAUGCAAGUCGAACGCGAAAGUCCUUCGGGAUGAGUAGAGUGGCGGACGGGUGAGUAACGCGUAGGAAUCUAUCCUGUAGUGGGGGAUAACGUUUCGAAAGGAACGCUAAUACCGCAUACGCGCCAAGGGGGAAAGCGGGGGAUCUUCGGACCUCGUGCUAUAGGAGGAGCCUGCGUCGGAUUAGCUAGUUGGGGAGGUAAAGGCGCACCAAGGCGACGGUCCGUAGCUGGUCUGAGAGGAUGAUCAGCCACACCGGAACUGAGACACGGUCCGGACUCCUACGGGAGGCAGCAGUGGGGAAUAUUGCGCAAUGGGCGAAAGCCUGACGCAGCCAUACCGCGUGUGUGAAGAAGGCCUUCGAGUUGUAAAGCACUUUCAGUGGGGAGGAAAAGCUGGUGGCUAAUAUCCAUCGGCCGUGACGCUACCCACAGAAGAAGCACCGGCUAAUUCCGUGCCAGCAGCCGCCGUAACAC